rnacentral:rRNA from 1 species
GUCCACGCCCUAAACGAUGUCAACUGGUUGUUGGGGAUUUCGGUCCUUGGUAACGUAGCUAACGCGAGAAGUUGACCGCCUGGGGAGUACGGCCGCAAGGUUAAAACUCAAAGGAAUUGACGGGGCCCGCACAAGCGGUGGAUGAUGUGGAUUAAUUCGAUGCAACGCGAAAACCUUACCUGGUCUUGACAUGUCGAGAAUCCCUUAGAGAUAGGGGAGUGCCGCAAGGAACUCGAACACAGGUGCUGCAUGGCUGUCGU